rnacentral:rRNA from 1 species
GAUGAACGCUGGCGGCGUGCCUAAUACAUGCAAGUCGAGCGAACAGACGAGGAGCUUGCUCCUCUGACGUUAGCGGCGGACGGGUGAGUAACACGUGGAUAACCUACCUAUAAGACUGGGAUAACUUCGGGAAACCGGAGCUAAUACCGGAAAAUAUAUUGAACCGCAUGGGUCAAUAGUGAAAGACGGUUUUGCUGUCACUUAUAGAUGGAUCCGCGCCGCAUUAGGGGGGUGGUAAGGUAACGGCUUACCAAGGAAACGGUGCGUAGCCGACCUGAGGGGGUGGACGCCCCCCCUGGGGGUGAGCCACGGUCCAGACUCCUAGGGGCGGCCGCGGUAGGGAAUCUUCCGCGAUGGGCGAAAGCCUGACGGAGCGGCGCCGCGUGAGUGAUGAAGGUCUUCGGAUCGUAAAACUCUGUUAUUGUUGAAGAACGAAUGUGUAAGUAACUAUGCACGUCUUGACGGUACCUGAUCAGAAAGCCACGGCUAACUACGUG